ensembl:snRNA Gm25078 U6 spliceosomal RNA
AUGCUUGCUUCGCCAGCACAUAUACUAAAAUUAGAACUAUAUGGAGAUUAGCAUGACCCCCGUGCAAAAAUGGCAUGCAAAAUCAUGAAGCAUUUCAUAUUUUU